UGGGGAAUAUUGGACAAUGGGCGCAAGCCUGAUCCAGCAACGCCGCGUGGAGGACGAAGGUCUUCGGAUCGUAAACUCCUGUCAGGUGGGACGAAGGCUCGUCGGUAAAUAGCUGACGAGUUUGACGGUACCACCAGAGGAAGCCCCGGCUAACUCCGUGCCAGCAGCCGCGGUAAUACGGAGGGGGCGAGCGUUAUUCGGAAUUAUUGGGCGUAAAGGGCGCGUAGGCGGCCUUGUAAGUCAAAGGUGAAAUCCCUCGGCUCAACUGAGGAACUGCCUUUGAAACUGCAAGGCUUGAGGCCGGGAGGGGGUAGCGGAAUUCCCAAUGUAGCGGUGAAAUGCGUAGAUAUUGGGAGGAACACCAGUGGCGAAGGCGGCUACCUGGACCGGUUCUGACGCUGAGGCGCGAAAGCGUGGGUAGCAAACAG
rnacentral:rRNA from 1 species